AUGGCCGCCUACAAGCUAGUGCUGAUCCUGGAGAACCGUUUCAGCGGCUGGUACGACGCCGACCUGAGCCCGGUGGGCCACAAGGAGGCGAAGUACGGCGGAGAGGCAUUGCAAGAUGCUAUGAAUUUAACAUCUGCUUCACCUCCGUGCAGAAGAGAGCCAUCUGGACCCUCUGGACAGUCCUGGAUGCCAUUGACCAGAUGUGGCUGCCAGUAGUCAGGACUUGGCGCCUCAAUGAGCGACACUAGGGGGUCUGACUGGUCUCAAUAAAGCAGAAACUGCUGCUAAGCAUGGUGAGGCACAGGUAAGAUCUGGAGGCGAUCUUAUGAUGUCCCACCACCUCCAAUGGAGCCUGAUCAUCCCUUCUACAGCAACAUCAGCAAGGAUCGCAGGUACGCAGACCUUACUGAGGACCAGCUGCCCUCCUGCGAGAGCCUGAAGGACACUAUUGCCAGGGCACCGCCCUUCUGGAAUGAAGAAAUUGUCCCCCAGAUCAAGGAGGGGAAAAGAGUCCUGAUUGCAGCCCAUGGCAACAGCCUUCGGGGCAUCGUCAAGCAUCUGGAGGGUCUCAGAAGAGGCCAUCAUGGAGCUGAACCUGCCAACUGGCAUCCCCAUUGUCUAUGAAUUGGACAAGAACUUGAAGCCUGUCAAACCCAGUUCCUGGGAGAUGAAGAGACCAUGCGGAAAGCCAUGGAAGCUGUGGCCACUCGGGGAGGGUCAAGAAGGGCCGACUCCUACCCCAGUACCCUCCCCCAUGCCUGUUGAUGCCUCCGGCACCCUUCCCCAACACCCUUCCCCAACACCCUUCCCCAACACCCUUCCCCAACACCUGUCACACUGACUACAUCUGUAGGAUCUUAACUUUAGGUGGUAGCUGCAGACGAGAACCUGCAGCUCCCAUUUUCAUUUUAGUAUUUUAUCCCCUGCACCCACUCCCUUCAUAGAAUCUAGUCAGAAUAACACCUCUGGGGUGCAGGUUCCUGGCCCACAUCCAGGAACAGCUCCCCUUACCAGGAGAGUUGAGAGGUAGUAAUUACAGUUUUUCCUAGUCCUUUGUUUACUAAGGGUCU